rnacentral:rRNA from 1 species
UACGAAGGGGGCUAGCGUUGUUCGGAAUUACUGGGCGUAAAGCGAACGUAGGCGGUGUUCCAUGUCAGAGGUGAAAGCCUGGGGCUCAACUCCAGAAUUGCCUUUGAAACGGGGACGCUUGAGUCCGAGAGAGGAUGGCGGAAUUCCUAGUGUAGAGGUGAAAUUCGUAGAUAUUAGGAAGAACACCAGUGGUGAAGGCGGCCAUCUGGCUCGGUACUGACGCUCAGGUUCGAAAGCGUGGGGAGCAAACAGG